GGACUACCGGGGUAUCUAAUCCUGUUUGAUCCCCACGCUUUCGUGCCUCAGUGUCAGUAAUAGUUUUGUAAGCUGCCUUCGCAAUGGGUGUUCUGUGUCAUAUCUAAGCAUUUCACCGCUACACGACACAUUCCACUUACAUCAAAUAUACUCAAGAAUGACAGUAUCAAUGGCAGUUCUACAGUUAAGCUGCAGGUUUUCACCACUGACUUGACAUUCCACCUACGCACCCUUUAAACCCAGUAAAUCCGGAUAACGCUCGGAUCCUCCGUAUUACCGCGGCUGCUGGCAC
rnacentral:rRNA from 1 species